UACGUAGGGUGCAAGCGUUAUCCGGAAUUAUUGGGCGUAAAGAGCUCGUAGGCGGUUUGUCGCGUCUGCUGUGAAAACUGGGGGCUCAACCCCCAGCCUGCAGUGGGUACGGGCAGACUAGAGUGCGGUAGGGGAGAUUGGAAUUCCUGGUGUAGCGGUGGAAUGCGCAGAUAUCAGGAGGAACACCGAUGGCGAAGGCAGAUCUCUGGGCCGUAACUGACGCUGAGGAGCGAAAGCGUGGGGGAGCAAACAGGA
rnacentral:rRNA from 1 species